rnacentral:rRNA from 1 species
GACGAACGCUGGCGGCGUGCCUAAUACAUGCAAGUAGAACGCACAGUUUAUACCGUAGCUUGCUACACCAUAAACUGUGAGUUGCGAACGGGUGAGUAACGCGUAGGUAACCUGCCUGGUAGCUGGGGAUAACUAUUGGAAACGAUAGCUAAUACCGCAUAAUAUUAAUUAUUGCAUGGUAAUUGAUUGAAAGAUGCAAUUGCAUCACUACCAGAUGGACCUGCGUUGUAUUAGCUAGUAGGUGAGGUAACGGCUCACCUAGGCGACGAUACAUAGCCGACCUGAGAGGGUGAUCGGCCAGACUGGGACGGAGACACGGCCCAGACUCCUACGGGAGGCAGCAGUAGGGAAUCUGCGGCAAUGGACGAAAGUCUGACCGAGCAACGCCGCGUGAGUGAAGAAGGUUGUCGGAUCGUAAAGCUCUGUUGUAAGAGAAGAACGGGUGUGAGAGUGGAAAGUUCACACUGUGACGGUAUCUGACCAGAAAGGGACGGCUAACUACGUG